CCAAGAUCUAAGCCGAAUUCCGGCACCGGGAAGCGGGGGAACCAGUUAUGGGUGAAUUGACUUCGCAACGAAGGAGUCAUAGGGGGACCUUCUCAACCGAAUCCUUAAGCUAACCUCGCAGGCAAAACGGAAGGGGUAC
rnacentral:sRNA from 2 species